rnacentral:lncRNA from 1 species
CGGAGAAUGUUUUGGCCUAUUACUAUUAACACAAACAUUAUAGAUAUGGGAAAACAACGCCCUACAAAAGUAGUUCCCUCCGUGUUUGUUCCAAGCUGCUUACAAACAAACAAAGGUGGAACUAUCCAUUCCUUCCAAAAGCAGCUAUUUCCCAGCUUACCGCCUUUCUUGGCUAGCAUGUCCGCAACAACACUCCCAUCCGCUCCUUAUGGUGGACCAGCGGCAUCCCUAACUGCUUGAGAAGAUCCCUGCAAGAGUCAAUCAAGUUAGAGUCUUCAGCGUAGAUUUCAGUGAGAGCCAUAGAUAGUUUGCUGCAAUCAGUGGCUAUUGUUAGAUUGUUGUAUUUUUUUAAGAGCCAUUUUUAGGCCUAGUAAGAGGGAAAUGGAUUCAGCUUCUUAAGCUUAGUUUACAUUAAUGAUGGCGCUAAAAUCGAAUAUCCAGUCCCCCGUGGAGUUACGGAAGACUCCCCCAGCUCCUCCCAUCUUAGUAUGAUUGUAGAAUGAUCCAUCUAUGUUUAGUUUAAUGGCUACAGAGGAUGUUGUCCACGUCACCUUACACCUAGUACUACUGCUUGUGGACGAUCCUUUCCAAUUAGAUAGAGGUAUUCUACUGAGCAUUUAUAAACAGUGUUAUUAGGAAUGUCCAGAUUAGUACCGUUAACAGAUUGGAGUUUCUAUUAAGCCAAAUACACCAUAGGUAGAAAGGAAAAGCGUGACUCCAGCUUAGAUGAUUUUUUAUUUGAAGAUGUUUCAUUUUCCUAAGAUAAGUGAGAGAUCAUUGAGAGGAAGCCAAGGUUAUUGUUAUCCCAAAAAUGUGGCUGGUAGUUUCCUCACAUUGGCAUAUGCUAUAGUGUAGGUUGACGUUGAGGCCUAUGUGGUUUAGGUA